CGCUGGCGGCAUGCCUUACACAUGCAAGUCGAACGGUAACAGGUCUUCGGAUGCUGACGAGUGGCGAACGGGUGAGUAAUACAUCGGAACGUGCCCGAGAGUGGGGGAUAACGAAGCGAAAGCUUUGCUAAUACCGCAUACGAUCUCAGGAUGAAAGCAGGGGACCGCAAGGCCUUGCGCUCACGGAGCGGCCGAUGGCAGAUUAGGUAGUUGGUGGGAUAAAAGCUUACCAAGCCGACGAUCUGUAGCUGGUCUGAGAGGACGACCAGCCACACUGGGACUGAGACACGGCCCAGACUCCUACGGGAGGCAGCAGUGGGGAAUUUUGGACAAUGGGCGCAAGCCUGAUCCAGCCAUGCCGCGUGCAGGAUGAAGGCCUUCGGGUUGUAAACUGCUUUUGUACGGAACGAAAAGACUCUGGUUAAUACCUGGGGUCCAUGACGGUACCGUAAGAAUAAGCACCGGCUAACUACGUGCCAGCAGCCGCGGUAAUACGUAGGGUGCGAGCGUUAAUCGGAAUUACUGGGCGUAAAGCGUGCGCAGGCGGUUAUGUAAGACAGAUGUGAAAUCCCCGGGCUCAACCUGGGAACUGCAUUUGUGACUGCAUAGCUAGAGUACGGCAGAGGGGGAUGGAAUUCCGCGUGUAGCAGUGAAAUGCGUAGAUAUGCGGAGGAACACCGAUGGCGAAGGCAAUCCCCUGGGCCUGUACUGA
rnacentral:rRNA from 1 species